UACGUAGGGGGGCUAGCGUUGUCCGGAAUCAUUGGGCGUAAAGCGCGUGUAGGCGGUCCGGUAAGUCUGCUGUGAAAGUCGGGGGGCUCAACCCUCGAAUGCCGGUGGAUACUGUCGGGCUAGAGUGCGGAAGAGGCGAGUGGAAUUCCUGGUGUAGCGGUGAAAUGCGCAGAUAUCGGGAGGAACACCAAUGGCGAAGGCAGCUUGCUGGGACGGUACUGACGCUGAGACGCGAAAGCGUGGGGAGCAAACAGG
rnacentral:rRNA from 1 species